GCCGCCGGGGCCUCCCCUCCUUGGUCCGCGGCGCGGCCUGUGGCGCCAUUUCUGCCGCCCACGUUGCCGCUCUCCGCCAUCUUUUGGGGGGACGGAGGUGAACCUUCAAGCUGAGGGGCCAGGCCCACCACCCCGUCUUGGUAAGGUUUCUACUCCCUGACCAUCCCAGGUCUAAAAUAGCCUCACCCAAUUUGAGGUGGUGCCAAAACCACCCUGUGGGACCCAAUUCACGUGCAGUGAUGGUCGGGAUUCAUGAACAGCAGGCAGCUCUGUGCUGUGUGGGGAGCUGGGGAGAUGCCGUCAGCCCCCUGGGGCCAGAUGCUGGCCUGCUCUUCCAGGAGUGUCUACCAGGGUCCCUGUCUGCAUCUGGAGUGGGCACCGAGGCAGGGGUCAGGGCUGUGCAUUUGGCUGGGGGACGGCAGGUGUCAGCCUCAAGGUGAGGGUUGGGUGAGACCAGGAAGGCCCGGGCUGUGAGUUGAGUUUCAGGGAAAAGGUUCAGACUUGGCCAAGGGAAGAGCAGGCCACCCACAGAUUCCCAUGACCUGGGGACUUCUGCAGGUGAAGUAUGGUGGACCCUCAGCUGCUGGCAGGGGCCUGCGAGUCAAACGAUGUGGGUAUUAAUGGGAACCCCACUUGCCCCAACAGCUACUGUUGCAACUGUGCCCUUUAGUCAGAACGUUCCACUCAUUUUUCAAAGGGUAAAGUCACGACACCGGCCUGGGGACUUGUGCGAAAAGAACCGCGUGCUCUGCUAUGGGGCUUCUUUGGGCUUCUCAGAGCUUCACUCCUUGUUGACAAACCCCAUAGGGACAGACGCUGCUGCCUGUGGAGGGCCACCCGGGUCCAGACAGGCAAAGCCGGGGCUCCUUCAGCAAGCUGGCUGCCAUUGGGCAGGGACGGGGUUGCAGAAGAGGAGAUAGUUACAGCUGCCACAGGACAGGGCGGGCUUCGGGCAGGAGCGGCCAGCAGACAGGCACCCCGAGUGGCUGGCGCCUGAGGUGCUCUUGAUUCCUUCCCUUUAGUCUCCAGCUGUGGGAAAUCCAACUCGAGACCCCAGCGCUCGGCGGGCCAUGAGGUCAGAGCACACGUCUGGGUGUCUCACCGUGGCUGGACACGUUGAGGUGGCGGAGCCAGAGGAAUGUGGGGACCCUAGUGAGGAGCAGCUGUGGCAGCCCAGACUCCUGCAUGGCUGCAAUGACAGGCUGGGGUCGCUGGGUCUUGCCACAGCCUGAGGAGAUCACUGGACCCAACGUCACGAGUGGCAGUGUCACGAGAAGGAAAUGACACACACCAGAAACCGAACGCCAUGGCUAUGAGGAGGUGAUGGAAAAAUCCAGCACCUGUCAGGAGGCUCUACCAAGCACCAGUGUUAGCUUAGGGGCAGAGGGCCCCGUAGCACACGUUCGUGCUGGAGGGUGUACUGGGCUGCGCUGGACCUGAGCAGAUUGGCACAGUCGGUGAGACAGGACGGAAGGGCUUUGGGAGCAAGAGCAGGAGGAAGAUGUUGAUUUUUAGAUGACGAGACUGCGAGGAGUGUCUGGCACCACAGGAAAGGUAGCGGAAGGACAGCAGGUGGCCCGGAGGGAGCAGGGAGCGGGCUUGGCUGAAUAAUAAGAGGUGGGCUGUUCCAUCUUAAAUGCGGUCUGAUUUCAGAGGGAGAAACAGGCAGGCGGGCUUGGGUUACCUGGGGUGGCAAGAAGUGACGAGGGGGGCCCCUCUCAAUGCCUCAGAACCCAGGUUUUGGUUGGCUUUCUCAGCCCGAAGCUUUGGGCUCUUGUCUGCCAUCCCCUUUAGGGUGCAGGAGUGGGGAUGAGCCCAGGGCCCCUGUGAUGUCCAGCACUGGGCUCUGACAGUUCCCUGUGGACACGGUGCCCCCCCGGGACCUUUGACACCCGGGGAUCUGAGGGGUCAUGGCUCUGGAAAGGCUGGAGAGGGGACCGGGUUGCCCUGUACCCCUCUGAUCUUCCCCCACUCCUUCCUGUCUGCAGGUGGUUCCCCAGAAGCCCAUGGCUGCCUUCUAGGGCAGAGAGUGUGCCCGCCCCUAUACCUGCCAUGAGCUGGCGAUCACCUGGAUCCUGUGAGUGCACAACCUGGGGGCCGGCCCUGUCCCUCACCUCUACAGCGCUGCUGGGGGCCUGAUGGUGAUGCCCUUCAACUAUCCUGCAAGGUGCUGUGGGGGGGGGCUGCAGGGUGCUGCUGGCCUAGUGCCAGCACCAGGACUUCACCAUGUGGGGGUCAUCCAGUCGGUGCAGGAGCUGGGCUGGUGGAGAGCCGGGUGUGCAAGGGAUGCCCUUUGGCUGCACCGCCCCUGGGCAGCCUGCAGGUCGAGGGUAUGACAGUCACUGACAUCCCCAGCCCCACCCACAGGGACUUUGUGAGGGCUGCCUGCAGAGCCAUGGUGGGCCCCCAGCCAGAGGGUGGAGAAGCAGGCCGGCCUCUCCCCCCCAGCUUUACAUCAAAGAAGCCAAGAACAGCCUCCUGUCCUCCAGGCUGUGCUUGGUGCCACCCCCACUCUUUGCCAUCAGGUCAAGGGGCCACCCACCCGCACUCCCCUUGGCACCAUAGAGAGGCCCAACUGCAGGGGAGACACUGAUCUGUGGCCAGUGCCCCCUGAGUAUCCAUGGAAUGUACAGGGUACCUUAGCACAUUUGAGGAGCCCUGAAGUAAAGGGGCGCUUCCCGACUCCCCCACUGGCCAGAGCCAGUGUAGGGCCACGAGACUCGAUUUUAUGCAUUUGUAACACAGGGGUUUGAGGGACACUUGUUUACCCUUUUGUAUUGUUUUGUCCUGGUUUUUCUCUUAAAACUUUUUUGCAUUUUUCUGGGCCUCCUUGGUGAUGGCGCAAAGGGUUAAGUCUCAGCACUGUGAAGCUAUCCACAGCCUGAGUUCAAACCCCGGCCAGGGAGCUACCCACACGGUGCGGCAGACCUCUCCUGUCUCCCCGCUGCUCCCCUCAGGAGUGUUUCAGUCAAUCUGCCUGUUCUGCUCCCCACUCUGUCUCUGGUGAAUCCUCUCACCCCUUGCACCUCUGGCCUGUACUCCAGCUCUUGUAUGCAUAAAUAAAUCUUUUUU